AACUGCGAAUGGCUCAUUAAAUCAGUUAUCGUUUAUUUGAUAGUACCUUGCUACAUGGAUACCUGUGGUAAUUCUAGAGCUAAUACAUGCUAAAAAGCUCGACUUCGGAAGGGCUGUAUUUAUUAGAUAAAAAACCAACGCCCUUCGGGGCUCCUUGGUGAAUCAUAAUAACUUAACGAAUCGCAUGGCCUUGCGCCGGCGAUGGUUCAUUCAAAUUUCUGCCCUAUCAACUUUCGAUGGUAGGAUAGUGGCCUACCAUGGUGGCAACGGGUAACGGGGAAUUAGGGUUCGAUUCCGGAGAGGGAGCCUGAGAAACGGCUACCACAUCCAAGGAAGGCAGCAGGCGCGCAAAUUACCCAAUCCCGACACGGGGAGGUAGUGACAAUAAAUACUGAUACGGGGCUCUUUCGGGUCUCGUAAUCGGAAUGAGUACGAUUUAAAUACCCUAACGAGGAACAAUUGGAGGGCAAGUCUGGUGCCAGCAGCCGCGGUAAUUCCAGCUCCAAUAGCGUAUAUUAAAGUUGUUGCAGUUAAAAAGCUCGUAGUUGAACCUUGGGUCUGGCUGGCCGGUCCGCCUCACCGCGAGUACUGGUCCGGCCGGACCUUUCCUUCUGGGGAAUCUCAUGGCCUUCACUGGCUGUGGGGGGAACCAGGACUUUUACUGUGAAAAAAUUAGAGUGUUCAAAGCAGGCCUUUGCUCGAAUACAUUAGCAUGGAAUAAUAGAAUAGGACGUGCGGUUCUAUUUUGUUGGUUUCUAGGACCGCCGUAAUGAUUAAUAGGGAUAGUCGGGGGCGUCAGUAUUCAGCUGUCAGAGGUGAAAUUCUUGGAUUUGCUGAAGACUAACUACUGCGAAAGCAUUCGCCAAGGAUGUUUUCAUUAAUCAGGGAACGAAAGUUAGGGGAUCGAAGACGAUCAGAUACCGUCGUAGUCUUAACCAUAAACUAUGCCGACUAGGGAUCGGACGGGUUUCUAUGAUGACCCGUUCGGCACCUUACGAGAAAUCAAAGUU
rnacentral:rRNA from 1 species